rnacentral:rRNA from 1 species
UAUGUAAAGGGAGCCUCUCAAAGAAGCUUUCACUAAGAGAUGGGCUCGCGUCCCAUUAGCUAGUUGGUGAGGUAACGGCUCACCAAGGCGACGAUGGGUAGCCGGCCUGAGAGGGUGAACGGCCACACUGGGACUGAGACACGGCCCAGACUCCUACGGGAGGCAGCAGUGGGGAAUAUUGCGCAAUGGGGGAAACCCUGACGCAGCAACGCCGCGUGAGCGAAGAAGGCUUUCGGGUCGUAAAGCUCUGUCAUCGGGGAAGAAGUCUCUUAACCUAAUAAGUUAAGAGGUGACGGUACCCGAGGAGGAAGCCACGGCUAACUACGUGCCAGCAGCCGCGGUAACACGUAGGUGGCAAGCGUUGUCCGGAAUUACUGGGCGUAAAGGGCACGCAGGCGGUUAAGUAAGUCAGGAGUGAAAGCCCCGGGCUCAACCCGGGGACUGCUUUUGAAACUGCAUAACUUGAGAGCAGGAGAGGUAAGUGGAAUUCCUAGUGUAGCGGUGAAAUGCGUAGAUAUUAGGAGGAACACCAGUGGCGAAGGCGACUUACUGGCCUGACUCUGACGCUGAGGUGCGAAAGCGUGGGGAGCGAACAGGAUUAGAUACCCUGGUAGUCCACGCCGUAAACGCUGGGUACUAGGUGUUGGGGGGUAGAACCCUUCAGUGCUGCAGCAAAACGCAUUAAGUACCCCGCCUGGGGACUACGGCCGCAAGGCUAAAACUCAAAAGAAUUGACGGCGGCCCGCACAAGCGGUGGAGCAUCUGCUUGAAGUCCACGCAACCGCGAAGAACAUCACCCAGGGCUUGACAUCCAGAGACGUUUAUAGAGAUAUAAAGUGCCUGCGGGACACGGAGACAGGUGAUGCAUGGUCGUCGAUCAGCUCGUGUCAUUAGAUCUUGGGUUAAGUCCCGCAACGAGCGCAACCAUUAUCGUAUGUUACCAGUACUUAGGGUGGGGACUCAUUCGAGACUGCCGGUGAUAAACCGGAGGAAGAUGGGGAUGACCUCAA